rnacentral:lncRNA from 1 species
GCGUAUUCUGUCUCUUGAAUACGUGGUAACGGUAGACGUCCCAUCAGUCAAGUUUUCCGGGCUGUGAGAGCGAGUAGCUAGGGGAUCGUGGCUACUCGCUCUCGCUGUUGUAUCCAUGGAGUUUAACGGUACUCUUCCUUAAACUCUGACUCUAGAUUGAUUUUACAAUUGUAUCUUAAUCUCUGUUAUGACUGCGAUUUAAUAAUCAUACAGUUGGUAUCGGAAUCAUAGUUAUUAUUGUGGAUUUUGCAUUUGAUGACAACGAAUUUUGAGCCGGAAAAUCGAGAGAACGAGCAGCUGAGAUUAUCCAUGGAGAGUUCAAGAGUAAAGCAAAGAAGAAAAGGAGAAGAAGAGUUUGUGAUUUGGUGCAGAUGGUUAAUUUUUCCAUGAUAGAAGUUGAAUAAUUAACCAAGAAAGAAAAAUAAAUCACUGUCAAAUAACCCUAGGUGAUCAAUAUUGGUGAAGAAAGUGAAUUGCAAGGUGAAAAUUAAUGUUGGUGGAGAAAGACCCAAAUUUAUAGAACACGAAAAUCGAGAUGUUUAUUGCUAUCUGUUUGACUUUAUGUGAUAUAAUUAGUACUAUUUGGAGAGUGAAAGAGAUUUUUCUUUGACUAUGUUUUUUGCAAAUAUUUUGAAUUGCUGACUGUUGUGAC